CUUGAGACAGGUGGGACAUGUCAUUUCUCACAUGAGGUCCCGGCGAGAAGGACCUGCCUCCAUCAGAUUCACACUCGGGAGAGGGGCCCGGCCUCCAGGAGCGCCAGGCAGAGGAGAGGGCACCCAUUAGGAAGAAGAACACAGAGGCCAUGGGAGUGAAAAGUUUGAUGCUGGAAAGCAAUAGUAGCACAUUCUGCUACAGAGCGGAAUGAAAAACCCUGGAGAGCAAAUUCCUGAGCCAGAGAAUGGAGCGGAGGAACCAGCCAAGGAGGAUAAAGAGAACUGUGUGCUCUGAGGCUGCCCGACCCUGAGCUCCAGAACAGACCAUCGAGUUCAGGAGACAAGCAUGUCAGCCAUGACACAAGGCAGAUGAGAGGGACCCAGCGUCCACACGUGGAGGCAGCAGGGGCAGCCGUGACUUCCUUCUGCAGUGUUGAUUCAGCUCCCUUUGAAGGCGGAUCCAUACAAACAGGCCGACCAUCAGGGCUGGUCCCAGGCCACCAGGCCGGGUGCAAUGCAGAAAUGGAGAUCUGCCCCGGGGAAGGCAGGUGAGUGUAGGAAGGAGGGAGGGCUGCGAGAAGCUGGGGGCAGCCUCCAUCCCCCUGUGGCCUGGGUGGGCCUGUGCCCCCCACCCCCCGAUGCAGCUUCCCACACUGGGAGCACAGUUCCUCCCUCCUCUGCCUUCCUCUGCGUGGUGUGGCUCCUCCUUGAGGGAGAGAGCUGAGGAGGUGGCAUUCUUGCUUCCCUGACUCACCCAAAGGAAGAUUUCACAGCCCCUGGCAAGGGCUGCCAGACAGGCUCACCUGUCACCCCCUGUCCAGGGACAGACUGACCGGUAGCCUUGGCUGGGUGGGGAGUUAUGCUGGGAAGGCUUCCAGGCCCCCUGGGGGUGGGAAGAUGCUCAAUGUUCAAAGGAGAUGGAACAAGGAAAACAGUUAAGCAACGAUGGACUCCAGGGGGAAAACUGGAGGAGAAGAAACUGUAAUUCCAGUCCGUCCACAUGGCCCAGCAGUGAACGACAAUUGCAUGGUCAGAGAGAGCAAAAGCACCAAGCCGACUGAAAGCAGCUCGAAUGCGGUGGGGCAGUGGGAGAUAAUGCCUCAUCUACCAAAACAAGGUCUGCCACCUUCACAGACCACUAAACCUCAUUCCUCCACCCACCUCCCCACCCCCACGAAGGCCAACUGACCAGAGAGCAGGGCUCCCGAGGGUCGGGUCAGGUCGGGUCGGGUCGGGUCGGGUGGGUGCCUCUUACCCUAACUGAGGCUCUGCCCUGGACUCGGAGUCCACUUGCUGUCAAAGCAUGCCACUCUUCUUUCUGAUACUUGACAUAUUUCUUUUCCCGUUCAAUUCAUGGUUUCCGCCCAAACGGAGCCACGCAAGGACGUCUUUGGGGAUGUGUCUCCAAGAAAAGUGUGGGCUGCCUUCCUCACCCUGGAUGCCUGUGGGCUGCCUUCCUCACCCUGGAUGCCUGUGGGCUGCCUUCCUCACCCUGGAUGCCUGUGGGCAGCCUUCCUCACCCUGGAUGCCUGUGGGCAGCCUUCCUCACCCUGGAUGCCUUUGGGCUGCCUUCCUCACCCUGGAUGCCUGUGGGCUGCCUUCCUCACCCUGGAUGCCUGUGGGCUGCCUUCCUCACCCUGGAUGCCUGUGGGCUGCCUUCCUCACCCUGGAUGCCUGUGGGCAGCCUUCCUCACCCUGGAUGCCUGUGACUUGGUUUCCAUGGGGGCUUCCUAAGCUCAGGGACCCCAAGCCUCCAUCAAAUCUAAUGACCCGCCCUGUCUCUGAACACACCUGUGUUGUCCCCGAGCCCCUCACCAACCCCCUCUGCAACCCCGCCCACGCAUUUCCCAUCCUGAAGGGUCCAGCUCAUAGGCCGGCCCAUGUGUUCCCUUUACCCCUGCUUUGUCCCUACCUGGUGGGGAGCUGUCCCUUCUGGGCCCUAGUGUGGCACUUCACACACAAAUGUGUCCUGUGGGUGGUAUCUGGGGCCUCCCCCUGCAGUGAGGGGAUGACCAAUGUGCAGAGCUCACUGGGCCUGGGUAUGGGCUCGGGUGGCACAGAACAGAAAGUGCUCCAUAAAAGUGAGCUGCGAUGCGGAGGUGGGCAAGCUCUUCCCUGGAGGGGGAAGAGCUCUCAACCCAGAGGGAUCUGACCAGGAAGGUUCACCCCGCCUCCACCCAGGAAGCCCCUGCAGACAGUAUGUGUUUUAGGCUUUGCUGGCCAAAUGGUCUCUGCCGUGACUACUCAGCUCUGCCAUUGUGGCAGCAGAGUGACCAUAGACCUUCUGAAAGUGAAUGAGUAUGACUGUGUUCCAAUAAAACUUUAUUGACAAAAA
rnacentral:antisense_RNA from 1 species